rnacentral:rRNA from 1 species
UACGUAGGCAGCAAGCGUUGUUCGGAAUUACUGGGCGUAAAGGGCUCGUAGGCGGCCAUCUAAGUCGGACGAUGAAACUCCCCUCGGGCUUAACCGGGGGAACUACGUCCGAUACUGGAGGGCUUGAGUGUGGGAGAGGGAUGCGGAAUUCCAGGUGUAGCGGUGAAAUGCGUAGAUAUCUGGAGGAACACCGGUGGCGAAGGCGGCAUCCUGGACCAUGACUGACGCUGAGGAGCGAAAGCCAGGGGGAGCAAACGGG